rnacentral:misc_RNA from 1 species
AAAAAAUAACAUUGAAAAAUCAGUAAAGCUUCAUGCACGAAAAAGGCUAGUCAUAAAGCCCUUAAUUUCACUUCAUCUAAUCAUUUAUGAGAAAUAACAUUACUUCAACCAAAAUAUGAAGAUGAAUUGCAUGCUGAUCUCAAGAGUAUUAACACAAUUCUAAUAUUUGGAAUGCUUAUGGAAAUCAAUCAAUAGAAAAUGAACUACACGAGGAAUGGAUACAUUAGUAGCAAGAA